GGGGGAAUACCCGAGUGGCCAAAGGGGACUGACUGUAACUCAGUUGGCAUAGCCUUCGGAGGUUCGAAUCCUCCUUCCCCCA
rnacentral:tRNA from 1 species